UACAGAGGGGGCUAGCGUUGUUCGGAAUUACUGGGCGUAAAGGGCGCGUAGGUGGCCUGUUAAGUCGAACGUGAAAUCCCCGGGCUCAACCCGGGAACUGCGUCCGAGACUGGCAGGCUCGAAUCCGGGAGAGGGAUGUGGAAUUCCAGGUGUAGCGGUGAAAUGCGUAGAUAUCUGGAGGAAUACCGGUGGCGAAGGCGGCAUCCUGGACCGGCAUUGACGCUGAGGAGCGAAAGCUAGGGGAGCAAACGGG
rnacentral:rRNA from 1 species